rnacentral:rRNA from 1 species
GACGAACGCUGGCGGCGUGCUUAACACAUGCAAGUCGAAUGGAAAGGCCCUGCUUUUGUGGGGUGCUCGAGUGGCGAACGGGUGAGUAACACGUGAGUAACCUGCCCUUGACUUUGGGAUAACUUCAGGAAACUGGGGCUAAUACCGGAUAGGAGCUCCUGCUGCAUGGUGGGGGUUGGAAAGUUUCGGCGGUUGGGGAUGGACUCGCGGCUUAUCAGCUUGUUGGUGGGGUAGUGGCUUACCAAGGCUUUGACGGGUAGCCGGCCUGAGAGGGUGACCGGCCACAUUGGGACUGAGAUACGGCCCAGACUCCUACGGGAGGCAGCAGUGGGGAAUAUUGCACAAUGGGCGGAAGCCUGAUGCAGCAACGCCGCGUGCGGGAUGACGGCCUUCGGGUUGUAAACCGCUUUCGCCUGUGACGAAGCGUGAGUGAUGGUAAUGGGUAAAGAAGCACCGGCUAACUACGUG